GUAUCGUGGCGGGUGGACGCGGUUUCUUCCUAUUUCGCCUCUGGCAGAGGCACACAGUGUUCUCCGGUCCUUUGCACCGCAGGCCCCCAGCUCCCGGGCAGCUGCUCCGGUCCGCUCGCCUGCACCCGCAGCAGACCCAUGGCGGAACGUGGGGAACUCGAUCUGACCGGCGCCAAACAGAAUACCGGAGUGUGGCUGGUCAAGGUUCCUAAAUAUUUGUCACAGCAAUGGGCUAAAGCCCCUGGAAGAGGUGAAGUUGGGAAACUGCGGAUUGCCAAGAGUCAAGGAAGGACUGAGGUGUCAUUUACUUUGAAUGAGGAUCUUGCAAAUAUUCACGACAUUGGUGGAAAACCAGCAUCAGUCAGCACUCCUAGAGAACAUCCAUUUGUCUUACAAAGUGUUGGAGGACAGACAUUAACAGUCUUUACUGAGAGCUCAUCAGACAAACUUUCAUUGGAAGGAAUAGUGGUACAACGAGCUGAAUGCCGACCUGCAGCCAGUGAAAACUACAUGAGAUUAAAAAGAUUGCAAAUAGAAGAAUCUUCCAAACCUGUAAGGCUAUCACAACAACUGGACAAAGUUGUGACAACCAAUUAUAAACCUGUUGCUAAUCAUCAGUAUAAUAUUGAAUAUGAAAGGAAAAAGAAAGAAGAUGGAAAACGGGCUCGAGCUGAUAAACAACACGUUUUGGACAUGCUGUUUUCAGCAUUUGAGAAACAUCAGUAUUAUAAUCUUAAGGACUUGGUGGACAUCACAAAACAGCCUGUGGGGUACCUAAAGGAAAUCUUGAAAGAAAUUGGUGUUCAGAAUGUAAAAGGGACCCACAAAAACACGUGGGAGCUGAAGCCAGAAUAUAGACAUUAUCAAGGAGAAGAAAAGAGUGAUUAAGAAGACUUGGCCAGCAUGCCAGCAGAACAAUUAAAGGGCGGUGCGCUGAGGACGCACCGCCGAAACUCAGAUACCUGAGUACCGUCUGUUGUAGGGGUGAAAUGACUGGAAGUUUAAUUUCCCUAGAACUUGCUUGCUCUAUAAACACGCUUUCGACAGCCAACUAUCAGGAAGUAGGAGUCCUCAGCCCUUAUAACCACUGUGAGAUUGAGAGAGGAAAGCUAGUAAGAGAGAUGCACAUCUGGUAAGAUGUCACAUCCUAAGAGCACAGGAGGGCCAUGUUUCAUAGGUGAUUUAGUUAAACUCUGCUAGUUACACUCACUUAAGGGAUGUUUUAACCAACAAAUGGUAAUAAAUAUAUUACGGUUGCUGGGCAUUGGAAAGAUUUGAAAUUACAUGUUGCCACAGUAACUUCUAAAAUGAUAGAUCUUAAAAAAGAAAACCGUUUUUGCUCUGUUGUAUCAUAAGCAGCCCUUAAGGAGUUCAGCAGAGUUGGAGUUAUUCCUAAUGGUCUGUGAACAAAUUUUCUUUGGAGCUUAUUUUCAUCCUUGUUGGUACUUCUCCGUGAAAUAAGAGUCAACACUUAUCAGGCCCUUAUGUGCCUGACAGUGUGUUAAAUGCUCUAAAAUAUUGCAUUUGAUCCUCAAAA